AACGAACGCUGGCGGCAUGCCUAACACAUGCAAGUCGAACGAGACCUUCGGGUCUAGUGGCGCACGGGUGCGUAACGCGUGGGAACCUGCCCUUAGGUUCGGAAUAACUCCCCGAAAGGGGUGCUAAUACCGGAUAAUGUCUUCGGACCAAAGAUUUAUCGCCUUUGGAUGGGCCCGCGUUGGAUUAGCUAGUUGAUAGGGUAAAAGCCUACCAAGGCGACGAUCCAUAGCUGGUCUGAGAGGAUGGUCAGCCACACUGGGACUGAGACACGGCCCAGACUCCUACGGGAGGCAGCAGUGGGGAAUAUUGGACAAUGGGCGAAAGCCUGAUCCAGCAAUGCCGCGUGAGUGAUGAAGGCCUUAGGGUUGUAAAGCUCUUUUACCCGGGAUGAUAAUGACAGUACCGGGAGAAUAAGCUCCGGCUAACUCCGUG
rnacentral:rRNA from 1 species